CCUCAUGGAUCAAAUUUUUUCAGUUUUUACGCUUGAUUUUUUGACUUUAAACUCGACAAUUUUAAUGAUACAAUUUCGUAUUUUACUCUAACCUAAUUAUCCUUACAUUUUACUCUACCUUAUCAAUACUUUUCCAAAUUUGUUUUUAUCCAAAUUUGUUUUUAUUAAAAUCGAGUUGGACAAAUAUAAUCUAGUCUGAUAAUUUUGCGAUCUUGUAAUUACCCAAAAAAAAUCAUGAUCAUCGAUCCCAUGUAAUCUUCAGAUCUGCAGCAUAGAUAGAAAGAGAGAAGGGGGAAAUCACGGUGCACUAGCAACAAAAGAAAGAGCUUUUAGACAGCCAUUGAAGUAACAGAAGCAGAACCAAAAUCUCACAUAUGAGUGCUGGUGGAGCAUUUGGUGGGAAUAGGGGAGUGAGACCAGUACCACCAGAAAAAGGAGUCUUCCCUUUAGAUCACAUGCAUCUAUGUGACCUGGAGAAGAAAGAAUACAUCAAUUGUCUUAAAUACGGUGGUCAUAAAUCUGAAAAGUGUAGGCACUUCUCCAAAACGUACCUUGAAUGUCGCAUGGAAAAGAACUUGAUGGCAAAGCAAGACAUGUCAGAACUCGGAUUUGGAAAGGAAUGUGAUCUUGAAGCUUCUGAAGAGAAAAAAUGAGGGGAUGAUAGAUAAUUGAGCAACUUUGCCAGGUUCUAAUGGAUCAGAAGUUGAUUGUCUAGAAGAUACAGGCAAAGUUACUCUAGAAGGAGGAAGGAAGAAGAAGUUGUUCAAACAGGAAACAAAAAGAAAAUAAAAAAAAUAUGCACUUUCCUCACCGCCAUUGAAGAUUUCAAGAGCUCCAUUGAAUAUCUACUAAACACUGUUGAAAACCUUGUUUAAGGUGUAAAACUUUCUGGGUGGAGAACAGACAUGCAGUGGAAUGGGUCAUCCAGAAAAGCCAAUAAAAUCCGAGAGCAGUACUGUUCAGAUGCCCGACUUAAUAGACACCAGUGUUCCUGAUGAUUCCAAUACUGCAACAGAUUUUAUUAAAACACAGAGCGACCAACACAUUCUGGAACAGAAGACAGCAACGGUCCCCAUAUUUGAUGAUUUAUUUGGAGACAGUUUAGGCACUGGUGUGAGUGCCAGUGAACAUAAAAAUGAUGAUGACCCAUUUGCUGAUGUCUCAUUUCUCACCAAUGAUGAUAAAGAACACGUGACUGAUAUUUUUUCUGGAAUGAAUGCUGAUAAACCAGGAACAAAUGAGGUCCAUAUGGCAGCAAAUGGAAAUGGAAAUGGACCUGAACUAUUUGAUAUUUUUGGGCUCACUUUUGAAGGUCCACAGCAGGAGGAAAAUCAUAAAAAGAUGUUCAUGAUUUCAUGGCUGGUUUGCCAAUCAGUGAAAAUGCCUCAAUGACUCAACAGAAAGGGGCCUCCCUGGGGCACACUCUGAAACCAUCUUCUGAGACUCCACCAUGAAUCCCAAUCACCUAGUUUCUAACAAUGUUUUCAAUGGAAUACUUGAUGGUUCUCAAGCAGCGGGGAUGAAUGUGAAUCCUAUGUUUUCUUUGGGUCCUAUGGCAUAUAAUAUACCAUCUGGCUUAAUGUUCAGUCCUGCUUUUCCUUCUCAGCCAGUGAAUUAUUGUGCCAUGGGGAAUUUCUUGACCCAGCAGCAGUUCUUAUCAACAAUGUCAAACUUCCAACAGGUGGGAAAUCUGCAAUCUCAAAACACUGGUGUCAGUCAUGCUGCUGGAACUAAAGGAGUAUAUUCUUCACCUCUUCCUGAUAUUUUCAAUCCAAAUAGUCCGACCUGAACUCCCAGUUCUGUGAUGAACAAUUCAAAGAAAGAGGAGACCAAAGCAUUUGAUUUUAUCUCGGUAAGUUUGAGAAUCAGCAUUUCUCUCUCUCUCUCUCUCUCUCUCUCUCUCAUAUAUG